GGAGUUCUUGAACACAGAAUCAGUGGGACUGGCAGAUGAACUCUGAAUUAUUCCCUGCAAGGACUGUUAGAUUUCCAGAAAUUAGGCUGCUGCAGACAUGGUUCACCACAUCCCUGUUAUCCUGUUAUGAAAAAUAGCAUGCUGUUGUGCUUUUCCAGUUUCCUACAAAGCUAAAUAUUUAUUCUUUCCCAGACUGAAAUAUAUCAAAAUGAAGAAAGGAUUAACUAAGAAUGAGAAGAAUGAAUGAAAAAAUGAAGGAUUGGAAGAAAAUGAAAGAACAAUUGGGGGGAGGGGGAGGGAUGAGGUCUGUACAGAAGACCAGAUUAAGGGGAAUUGUGAGAGCAGAAGUUACUUCAGCAUUAAGGAAAAAUUUACAGUGCAAAAAGAACAGAACAGUGUAUUUUAAAUAAAUGAACUGAUGCUUGAACUCUCAAGUCUUUCACAGAAUGCUAGUUAAGUAAUUCUGAGCACAAUUUCUUUGAGGGCCCAUCCCACUGUUAGUUUCUUCUACAGUUAUAUCUAGUAUUAUCAACCGGCUUCAAACCCCUAGGAUGACAUGCUCUGAACUGGUAGAUUGAAAACAGUAACUUUGAGGCAUAAAGAAGGAAGAAAAGAAAGGGACUGAAAGGAUAAAACACAAGCAAAUUAAUAGUAGUGUUUCAAGUUACUAAAUCUCCUAUACUGUUAGGUGAAAUGGAACAUAAUCAGCAUUUGUGUUACAUUCUGAAAGUUUCAUAUGUUUGCUGGUUACUUUUAAAAAUAAUUCAUACAGAAUUUCAGAGUAUUUUUUUCCAGAAUAGAGCUUUCUUCUGUAGGGUCCUAAAUGAUAGGAAUGAGCACAGAAACAGGAUGCGAACAAGUAUCGACUUUUAAUAGCAGCAUCUGUCUUUCAUGAGCAAAUCCUGGGAGUGACCUUUUUCAUCUGCCUUGGAUGCAAAGGCCGUUCUUGAUGAAGUACAGCUGCUCUUCCAGAGGAGUCCCUUCUUUGAACGGAUGAUUUCAGUGACAAAUUUGCAUUACAAAGUUGUAACCCUCUCAUAGCCUGAUUCUGCCACUGGCCACAAGCUGCUCUGGCCUGGCUGCUACUGCUGUCAAGGGGCUGCAGCCUGCUACUGAUGCUGGAGCUGCUUCCUUCUCAUUCACUGCAACAGCCAUUUGCUCCUCAUGCCACCACUUCGAGGGACCAAGCUGUCUGUAGUACCCAGUCAGAGAAAGAAACUGAGACUGGACAGGACCUCUUGUGAUCAUCUAGUCCACUCCUUUUUCGAGCAAGGUCAGCUACAGCUGGUUCCCAGAAGGCUGCUCAGGAUUAUGAUAUUUAAUCACAUUGAGACCGAACCCUGCCCUCAAAGCCAUUUUUUCUGCAGGCUGAAGAGUCUCAUAGCUGUCUCCACAUAUAAAAUAUGUUCCAGUUCCUUAACCAGCUGUGUGGCCCUGUGUUGGACUUGUUCCAGUAAGUCUGCAUCUUUCUUGUACUGGGGAACCCAGAACUGGACACUGUCCCAGGGAAGCAGAUGAUGUUGUUUAUCAGAAAAAAAUCACACCAGUUUUACUUCAGACCUGCCCUGAGGUCAAGGGCUUGCCAGAUAGCCUAGAGUCUCGGCUGAUCCUGGCUGCCAUCUCUGGGUUGAUCUAUGUUACCUGAGGAGUUCAUCCACAAUGAAAGUGCAAAACAGCUUAAUUCUAGUAGCCAACACGAUCAUUGUUGACUUGCUGUCUGCAAAACACCAGAGUACAUCAAGACCAUUGCAGCUGUCUGAUGACAGUAAGUAGUUCUGAUGCCUGCACAAGGAUGUUUCCCUGUGAAAUGUAAAAUAAACAGUUCUCUCACUUGAAAAGAAAUGCAAGAAAGUAACUUCACCACAAGUCAAUGACUUUGAUAACAAAAUACCAAAUAGAUUCAGUAUGUUCAUAGUCAGGAAUGCAAUAGCACUCAAUAGUUUGUACUGAUUGCAUGGCUAGGGAUUUUUGAACUUCUCAUUUUCAGUUGAACGUGUAAGCAAGAUGCGACUGUAUUUCUCAUUAUUUCUUCCCCCUAACAAUUGGUUACUACAAAUAAACAAUGAUAAAAUGUAGUAUCUUUUCUUCUUGUUUAUGAGGCAGCAACAAUGCUUUUAUUUAAUAAAAAAAGUCUUUAUGUAAGAAGGGCAGAGUCUUAACUUUCUGACUGAGUAAUGUUUUUUGGGAGGAGCAAAGAAGAUGAGAAUUUUGCCCUGAGAAAACUACCCUUUGUUACUAAAUGCUGCAAAAAAAGGAUUAAAAAACAACAAAAUGUUUCUGUAAUCAGGGAAAAAUGCCUUUCAGUGUUCAUUCUUUAUUGACGUGUUCUGCAGUCUUAAGUCCCACUACUGAAACUGCAGAGAAAGAGAAAACAUUCCUUUUCUUACCAGGAAAAGAAGAUGCUCAAUCUUCUACUCAUAAGUGAGAUAAGGCUCAUCUAAAUGUGAUGUCUCUCAUCAUGGGAUCCAGGUUUUCAUUAGACAAGGAGAUGUCAGUCAUUUCCUGCUGGUGACAUUCUGAAAUAUCAGUUGGCACAAGAAGGAAGUGGUAUGGUGGUGUGUGAAAUAGCUCAACUGCUUUGGGUAAUCAGGCCCAGAAACUCACUCUGUACUUAAAGAUGCAUGCUUUUAGUGUGGCUUGCUGUUCCAAGCAAACUGGAAGCUAUCUAGAAAGAGCAGAAAGAAUACAGUGCAAAGUCUUCUGAUCACACGUGAAUUUCACAUACACUUCCAGUGAAAAAUGUGUAAGUUUAAUAAAGAUGCCAUGUUU